CUCACACAAGAAUCUCUGCCUUGGCCUCCACUUCAAUAAAAACUGCCUGAAGAUCGAAGCCAGGAAACACCUGUCAAGGGACAGAAGAAAACAGGAGAGGAAUGUUCAUUUGGACCUCUUUGCAUGGUCUUUGGCAAUAAUUCUCCUUCUCUUGGUGAUGUCCAUGAGAUUACAUGACCCUGAAUGAAUCAAUGGCCUGAAAGAAUAACUCAUGGUGCACUAAGUAAGAAUCAAAUUUCAUGUCUGGACUUUCCUUCUGAAAUGGGAACACUGUGGUACAAAGUUCCAGAAGAUUCUGCCAGAGCUCACAGAAGCUGCCUCCUACAGGAACAGGCAAAAACAUUAAAAACCUUUGUUGUAGCCUCUCUCUGGCUUGGGUGUGGCCUUGUGACAUGGCUCUACAUAAUCCUUUCUAGGAGCCCAGGAGGAGAGAAAUGCCCAGGAAAGACAUCUCUUCACCUCAGAAAAGAAAGGUCAACUACAAGAAAAAAUGACGCAAAAGCCCAGCUCUUAGAUCUAAGCAUCCUCAUGUGUGAAAAUCCAGGUAAAGUGUGCCAGGUCCCACCAAAGCCCACCAAUCUUAGAGUCGACCUGGCUGUGUUGUCAGCGAAUGAUCCUUUUGUGAGAAGACACACAAUGGUAUCAAAUCACAGAAUCACAAGAACAGCACUCUGCCUCAGUCUGCCCUCAGCUCAGUCAGGAAAAGUGUGGAAAACUAAAUUUUAAAAUAAUAACAAUAAAUAAACAGGAUUUUAGACCCA
rnacentral:lncRNA from 1 species